CACUUGUGAACCUAUUGUAGAUCGAAAGAUCUAUGUUCUUUUAUAACUCACGAUUGUAUGUCUAUAGAAUGUCUACCUUUAUUAUACAACUUUCAGCAAUGGAUCUCUUGGUUCUCGCAUCGAUGAAGAACGCAGCGAAUUGCGAUAAGUAAUGUGAAUUGCAGAUUUUCAGUGAAUCAUCGAAUCUUUGAACGCACCUUGCGCCCCUUGGUAUUCCGAGGAGCAUGCCUGUUUGAGUGUCAUUUAAUAAUCAACCACUACUAGCGUUGUGGCUUGGACUUGGGAUUCGCUGGCUUAGUUGUCAGCUUUCCUUAAAUGUAUUAGCAAGUGAGUGUAUGGCUUGUGACACGCGUGAUAAUGAUCGUCGUAGUUAGCUAGCUUGCUUGCUGGGAAAGCUUGAUGUGAAGUGGUAGUGUUUAAGUGCAUACGGCCUAAUACGCUGGAAGCUUAAUGUCAACUUAGUAACAUCAAGUGUUGUAAGUGCAUACGGCCUAAUACGCUGGAAGCUUAAUAUAAUAUAUAUUUGACCUCAAAUCAGGUAGGACUACCCGCUGAACUUAAGCAUAUCAAUAAGCGGAG
rnacentral:rRNA from 1 species